GCCGGUGUGAUGGAAUGGCAGACAUACAGGACUUAAAAUCCUGGGACUGUAAAAAGUCGUGCGGGUUCGAGUCCCGCCACCGGCACCA
rnacentral:tRNA from 1 species